UACUUGAGAGGCUGAGGCAGGAGGAUCGCU
rnacentral:piRNA from 1 species